rnacentral:rRNA from 1 species
AGGACGAACGCUGGCGGCGUGCUUAACACAUGCAAGUCGAGCGGAAAGGCCCUUCGGGGUACUCGAGCGGCGAACGGGUGAGUAACACGUGAGUAAUCUGCCCAUAGCUCUGGGAUAGCUCCGGGAAACCGGGAUUAAUACCAGAUACGACCACUUUAGACAUCUGUUGUGGUGGAAAGAAUUUCGGCUAGGGAUGAGCUCGCGGCCUAUCAGCUUGUUGGUGAGGUAACGGCUCACCAAGGCGACGACGGGUAGCCGGCCUGAGAGGGCGACCGGCCACACUGGGACUGAGACACGGCCCAGACUCCUACGGGAGGCAGCAGUGGGGAAUAUUGCGCAAUGGGCGAAAGCCUGACGCAGCGACGCCGCGUGGGGGAUGAAGGCCUUCGGGUUGUAAACCCUUUCAGCAGGGACGAAGCGAAAGUGACGGUACCUGCAGAAGAAGCGCCGGCUAACUACGUGCCAGCAGCCGC